CAUAUAUCAGCAGGCAUGCAACUAACGUUACACCAUAAAAAAAAGCCAAAAGGCUACUACUAGCUUCAUAAGGCUAAAGGCGCCAAGAAGUUAACCGAGACCCCACCCACCCAGUCGGCUAGCUAGCAACACAGGAUGUUUAAACACAUUGGACGCAGAACGACAUCUUUCUAAACCGACGUUGAGCCUCGGGUGAAUGACACUGCCCAAAAGAACCAACAAAGCAGAGCAGAGAAAUAUCUCUUUCACUUUCUACUUCUUCCCUGAGGGGGCAACAGCAGCAGAGGCAAUGACAUCAGCUCAUGUCAAAGCAGUGGCAGACCCUGCUAAGAUGUCCGUUUUCCACAGGAAAGCAGACAAUAAGACAGACACUUUAAAUACCCAUAAAUUCCGAUGCAAGGAGUCAACAAGAUACUUUUCAGGCACAGACUCCAAACACAAGUGUGUAGAACCAGGAGAACUCAACUUUGGUCUUCACCUCUGCUAAUGAAGAGUUCUGCUUCAACUUCCUCUGAUUUGCUCUGAGAAACUAUUUUGAGAGUCUUAAUAAAGUUAUUUGCUUUGGUAAUGAUAAUGCUACUGGUCAUGGUUUGACUAUGUAUU